ensembl:lncRNA
GUACAGACUUAAUUACUUCUCUGUCUACUUUUCUUACUCCAUGUAGGUUUCCCAGAGACUAUGGGUUGAGGAGGAAGUGGAAGUUUGUUGGCUUAGACCUGGUGUCAUUCCAUCAGUGUUAAACUUCCCGGCUCAUCUUGGAAGAGUACGUGCCAGAAAGACCACAACCAAGCAGCCUUGAGAUCUUAGGCAGCGUCUCCCUGAGGUCCCUCUCUAUCUCCCCACACAUCCACCAACCACUGGAACACAUCUCCAAAGUUCUACUGGACCAGCUCAGCUUCCCCUCAGAAGAAGUACCGCCACCUGCCAGAUGGAGGAGCCUUUUGAGAGGCAGCUGGCAUCGUGAUUGGACUGUACUUUGGUCUGUUCCAAUCCAGCUUCAGCUCCAGAGACGGCAGGCGGGACGAGUCAACGGAGGCCUGAUGGACGAAGGCAUGAAGCUGAGUACAAUCCAGAAAACAACAGAGGAGGAGUGCAGCAGCCCAGGACCAGAACAACCAGAGUAGCAUGGUAUGUCUCUUAGAAAACAUCAUAGUAGAGCCUUUGGUAUGAAAAAACACCAUCAUAUACAUCGUAUAUUGUACAAAUAACAAGUCAAAGGAAAGAGACAUACAUUGUAGAAUUGUAG